AACUUUCGGCAACGGAUCACUUGGUUCUGGCAUCGAUGAGGAACGCAGCGAAAUGCGAUAAUUAAUGUGAAUUGCAGAAUUUAGUGAAUCAUCGAAUCUUUGAACGCACAUUGCGCCCCUUGGUAUUCCGGGGGGCAUGCCUGUUCGAGCGUCAUUUCACCCCUCAAGCUCUGCUUGGUCUUGGGCCGCGCCGGCAACGGCGGGCCUCAAAAACAGUGGCGGCGCUAUCGUGUCCCUCAGCGUAGUAAUUCUUCUCGCUGUUGGGUACCGGUGGCUGCUUGCCAGCAACCCCUAACUUUCAAAGUUUGACCUCGGAUCAGGUAGGGAUACCCGCUGAACUUAAGCAUAUCAAUAAGCGGAGGCU
rnacentral:misc_RNA from 1 species